GAUGGACGCUGGCGGCGUGCUUAACACAUGCAAGUCGAACGGAAAGGCUCCUGCUUGCAGGGGUACUCGAGUGGCGAACGGGUGAGUAACACGUGGGUGAUCUGCCCUGCACUUCGGGAUAAGCCUGGGAAACUGGGUCUAAUACCGGAUAGGACCACAUUUUGGAUGGUGUGGUGGAAAGUUUUUCGGUGUGGGAUGAGCUCGCGGCCUAUCAGCUUGUUGGUGGGGUAAUGGCCUACCAAGGCGUCGACGGGUAGCCGGCCUGAGAGGGUGUACGGCCACAUUGGGACUGAGAUACGGCCCAGACUCCUACGGGAGGCAGCAGUGGGGAAUAUUGCACAAUGGGCGCAAGCCUGAUGCAGCGACGCCGCGUGGGGGAUGACGGCCUUCGGGUUGUAAACUCCUUUCGCUAGGGACGAAGCGCAAGUGACGGUACCUGGAGAAGAAGCACCAGCUAACUACGUG
rnacentral:rRNA from 1 species